rnacentral:rRNA from 1 species
GCGGUGGAGCAUGUGGUUUAAUUCGAAGCAACGCGAAGAACCUUACCAGGUCUUGACAUCCCGAUGCUAUUUCUAGAGAUAGAAAGUUACUUCGGUACAUCGGUGACAGGUGGUGCAUGGUUGUCGUCAGCUCGUGUCGUGAGAUGUUGGGUUAAGUCCCGCAACGAGCGCAACCCCUAUUGUUAGUUGCCAUCAUUCAGUUGGGCACUCUAGCGAGACUGCCGGUAAUAAACCGGAGGAAGGUGGGGAUGACGUCAAAUCAUCAUGCCCCUUAUGACCUGGGCUACACACGUGCUACAAUGGUUGGUACAACGAGUUGCGAGUCGGUGACGGCGAGCUAAUCUCUUAAAGCCAAUCUCAGUUCGGAUUGUAGGCUGCAACUCGCCUACAUGAAGUCGGAAUCGCUAGUAAUCGCGGAUCAGCACGCCGCGGUGAAUACGUUCCCGGGCCUU